GACGAACGCUGGCGGCGUGCCUAAUACAUGCAAGUCGAGCGGAACUGGGGGAGCUUGCUCCUUCCAGUUUAGCGGUGGACGGGUGAGUAACACGUGGGCAACCUGCCCUGCAGAUCGGGAUAACUCCGGGAAACCGGUGCUAAUACCGACUCGUUUGGCGCCUCUCCUGAGGCGCCACGGAAAGACGGUUUCGGCUGUCACUGCAGGAUGGGCCCGCGGCGCAUUAGCUAGUUGGUGGGGUAACGGCCCACCAAGGCGACGAUGCGUAGCCGACCUGAGAGGGUGACCGGCCACACUGGGACUGAGACACGGCCCAGACUCCUACGGGAGGCAGCAGUAGGGAAUCUUCCGCAAUGGACGCAAGUCUGACGGAGCAACGCCGCGUGAGUGACGAAGGUUUUCGGAUCGUAAAACUCUGUUGUGAGGGAAGAACACGUACCAACUAACUAUUGGUACCUUGACGGUACCUCACCAGAAAGCCACGGCUAACUACGUGCCAGCCGCCGCGGUAA
rnacentral:rRNA from 1 species